GAUGAACGCUGGCGGCGUGCCUAAUACAUGCAAGUCGAGCGAACAGACGAGGAGCUUGCUCCUCUGACGUUAGCGGCGGACGGGUGAGUAACACGUGGAUAACCUACCUAUAAGACUGGGAUAACUUCGGGAAACCGGAGCUAAUACCGGAUAAUAUAUUGAACCGCAUGGUUCAAUAGUGAAAGACGGUUUUGCUGUCACUUAUAGAUGGAUCCGCGCCGCAUUAGCUAGUUGGUAAGGUAACGGCUUACCAAGGCGACGAUGCGUAGCCGACCUGAGAGGGUGAUCGGCCACACUGGAACUGAGACACGGUCCAGACUCCUACGGGAGGCAGCAGUAGGGAAUCUUCCGCAAAGGGCGAAAGCCUGACGGAGCAACGCCGCGUGAGUGAUGAAGGUCUUCGGAUCGUAAAACUCUGUUAUUAGGGAAGAACAAAUGUGUAAGUAACUAUGCACGUCUUGACGGUACCUAAGCAGAAAGCCACGGCUAACUACGUG
rnacentral:rRNA from 1 species